CCUAACACAUGCAAGUCGAACGGUAACAGGAAACAGCUUGCUGUUUCGCUGACGAGUGGCGGACGGGUGAGUAAUGUCUGGGAAACUGCCUGAUGGAGGGGGAUAACUACUGGAAACGGUAGCUAAUACCGCAUAACGUCGCAAGACCAAAGAGGGGGACCUUCGGGCCUCUUGCCAUCGGAUGUGCCCAGAUGGGAUUAGCUUGUUGGUGGGGUAACGGCUCACCAAGGCGACGAUCCCUAGCUGGUCUGAGAGGAUGACCAGCCACACUGGAACUGAGACACGGUCCAGACUCCUACGGGAGGCAGCAGUGGGGAAUAUUGCACAAUGGGCGCAAGCCUGAUGCAGCCAUGCCGCGUGUAUGAAGAAGGCCUUCGGGUUGUAAAGUACUUUCAGCGGGGAGGAAGGGAGUAAAGUUAAUACCUUUGCUCAUUGACGUUACCCGCAGAAGAAGCACCGGCUAACUCCGUGCCAGCAGCCGCGGUAAUACGGAGGGUGCAAGCGUUAAUCGGAAUUACUGGGCGUAAAGCGCACGCAGGCGGUUUGUUAAGUCAGAUGUGAAAUCCCCGGGCUCAACCUGGGAACUGCUUCUGAUACUGGCAAGCUUGAGUCUCGUAGAGGGGGGUAGAAUUCCAAGUGUAGCGGUGAAAUGCGUAGAGAUCUGGAGGAAUACCGGUGGCGAAGGCGGCCCCCUGGACGAAGACUGACGCUCAGGUGCGAAAGCGUGGGGAGCAAACAGGAUUAGAUACCCUGGUAGUCCACGCCGUAAACGAUGUCGACUUGGAGGUUGUGCCCUUGAGGCGUGGCUUCCGGAGCUAACGCGUUAAGUCGACCGCCUGGGGAGUACGGCCGCAAGGUUAAAACUCAAAUGAAUUGACGGGGGCCCGCACAAGCGGUGGAGCAUGUGGUUUAAUUCGAUGCAACGCAAAGAACCUUACCUGGUCUUGACAUCCACAGAACUUUCCAGAGAUGGAUUGGUGCCUUCGGGAACUGUGAGACAGGUGCUGCAUGGCUGUCGUCAGCUCGUGUUGUGAAAUGUUGGGUUAAGUCCCGCAACGAGCGCAACCCUUAUCCUUUGUUGCCAGCGGUCCGGCCGGGAACUCAAAGGAGACUGCCAGUGAUAAACUGGAGGAAGGUGGGGAUGACGUCAAGUCAUCAUGGCCCUUACGACCAGGGCUACACACGUGCUACAAUGGCGCAUACAAAGAGAAGCGACCUCGCGAGAGCAAGCGGACCUCAUAAAGUGCGUCGUAGUCCGGAUUGGAGUCUGCAACUCGACUCCAUGAAGUCGGAAUCGCUAGUAAUCGUGGAUCAGAAUGCCACGGUGAAUACGUUCCCGGGCCUUGUACACACCGCCCGUCACACCAUGGGAGUGGGUUGCAAAAGAAGUAGGUAGCUUAACCUUCGGGAGGGCGCUUACCACUUUGUGAUUCAUGACUGGGGUGAAGUC
rnacentral:rRNA from 1 species